rnacentral:lncRNA from 1 species
GGAGGACUUUGCUAUGGGCCCUGAGGUGUUGGCAGGGAUGGGGGCUCUAAGCUGAAAGAAGUUUCCCUAGAGGAAAAGGUCACCAAAAACCGCUCACAACCUCCACUACCCUCCAGCAAAGCCUUCGGUCACCCAAGUGCCAGAUGAGCCUGGAAAGGGACAGUAGUUACCCUACAAGCAAUACCCACCAAGACUCUAUGGAGGCUUCUUUGAAGAAAAAUAAAUAAGCCAGGAUACAGACACACACCCCACCACCUUCAAGAGGAAGAAUGUAGGUCAGCAUCUUUGCCACUACUCUAUGUGAAACAGCCUAUGAUCUUGGCAAAAACUAGUAACCACAAGCCCAUCCCAUCCCACUAAAAAUCCCACCACCUUCCCAUAGCUCUCAGCUUCAGUAAGAAAAGCCAGCAAGAAAAGGACUUUCUUCCUCCUUUCAAUCUGCUCCCCGGCUGUUUGAAUUACACUUAAGACUUCACUGACAAACAUACAUCAGCUUUUGCUCCCACAAGGGCAGCGGAAGCCAAGCAGGGACUCUAAGUCUGCUUCACGCAUCAUUGACAGAACCAACCCUGUUCCAAUUGCUGAAGUCUUAAGAGCAGCAAUGACCUAGAAAUUGACAGUGGGGGGAGAACUGAAGGAAAGGAAACUGACAAACCAGUACACAGAAAACCCUAUUUCCAAAUACCAGGGGAAAGAGAGAGAAAGGAGGUAGAGGGGAAAGAGAUUUGGCCCCUUUGAAUCUGCAAAUGUGAUCUUGGCUCAGAGCCAUGGAGGAUACACAGCAGCCCCAUUGCGAGUCAAGCCAUGUUCCUGACUCAAACCCUACAGUUAAGAGGAAGGCGCCAAGCCUCAAACACAACGAGGUGGGGAGGCCGCUCCUUUUUGGGCAGGAUCCUACUGUGGACACAGAACAGACAGCAGCUGCCCACAGUGUGGAAACAAACUGUAAAGCAGUCACGUCUCUUAAGGCUGCAGCAUCCAAUAAAAUGUAAUUUAAAUCAAGCCUUGCAUCUGUUCUCAAUCCCAUUCAGUCUCUGCUUUCCAUCAGCCUUCGGACAAUCUUUGCAAUUAUGCUUGUUAACCCUUAUAGCCCCGGACACUUUCCAAGCUUCUAGGUAUAGAACUGUGUUCUCCACUCACACAUUACCCUCUCUCCAUAGCCAAGGGAGGGAAUGAAUGCUCUAAUAAAGGAGUGUGAGGGUGAGAAUGACAUUCAGACUCCUGUCUACAGACUAUGCUCAGCUACACACACUAGUGGGGAGUUUUCAUUUCAGAGGGCUCUGUGUGCCCUUCUAUCCCACACCACCUGCUGUAGCCCAGAUCACAUUGCAAGGAUACAGUGGGC